rnacentral:rRNA from 1 species
AUUGAGGGCCACCUAUCAAACUCCGGGGACACCCUAAAGCUUAUGAUACCAAGCCAUAGUCGAAAGGCUAUGAGUGGCCAGAAUAAUUCCCUGGGUAUGGUAACAAGUCAUAAUAUGAGUGAAAACGAAAUGGGUUAUCGCGGAUCUAAAUCAGAAUUUCAAAGCCCACAGCCAAAAGAAAUAUCUGUAAAAGAGCAACGAGUAGAUGGUAGUUAUUUUGGAUUUUACCCAAAAUUAAGGUGUACUCUAAUGGGCUUCGAAAGAAGUUAUCAAAUCAAAAACCCUUCUAACCAAUUUUUUAAAAAAUACUUUUCUAUUUUAAAUACAAAACCUGAAGCUAAAAUAAAUCCUUGGUUUUUAACUGGUUUUGCAGAUGCUGAAAGUUGUUUAUCUAUAAAAAUACAAGCAAAUGCUAAAUUAAAAACUAAAGAACAUCUAACUUCUAAAUCAGUGUACAAUCAAAAAAUAAAAAUAAAAUCAGGUAUGAAUCUAAAUAGAAAAUAGUAGUGUUAAAUAUAUUUCUAACACAUUUUAUUAAA